rnacentral:rRNA from 1 species
AUUGAACGCUGGCGGCAGGCCUAACACAUGCAAGUCGAACGAGUUGCGGACGGGUGAGUAAUGUCUGGGAAACUGCCUGCUGGCGGCGGAUAACUACUGGAAACGGUAGCUAAUACCGCAUACCAUCGGAUGUCCCCAGAUGGGAUUGGCUAGUAGGUGGGGGAAAGGCUCGCCUAGGCGACGGUCCCUAGCUGGUCUGAGAGGAUGACCAGCCAAACUGGAAGUGAGGCACGGGCGAGACACCGACGGGAGGCAGCAGUGGGGAAUAUUGCGCAAGGGGCGCAAGCCUGAUGCAGCCAUGCCGCGUGAAUGAAGAAGGCGUUCGGGUUGUAAAGUGCUGUCGGCGGGGAGGCGUUACCCGCAGAGGAAGCACCGGCUAACUCCGUGCCAGCAGCCGCGGUAAUAC